CCCUUCCCCCGCCCCCAAUCUGUGACCUUUCUGUGCUUCCGACAGGAAAUAAACCUCUGGGGGAGAGAAGGGCAGACAUGGAGCCAGGGCGACUGAGCCCCCAAGUAGGGGAGGGUGGUGAGGGGACCCCAGGGGACGGAGUCGUAUGCUCAGCCUCCAGUGAGCAAGGAAGUCAGCGGGGCUGGGAUUCAAACCGACCCUGACCCUGGGAACUGUGGCAGCCGGAGCCUGGGCGGAGGAAUAGAACCUUCUGUCGUUCAGCUGAGCUUUAUCACCAGUUUCCUGUUGCUCCAUAGCAGCUUCACUG
rnacentral:lncRNA from 1 species